rnacentral:rRNA from 1 species
CAGUAGCCGCGGGAAUACGAAGGGGGCUAGCGUUGCUCGGAUUUACUGGGCGUAAAGGGCGCGUAGGCGGACGGUUAAGUCGGGGGUGAGAGCCCGGGGCUCAACCUCGGAAUUGCCUUCGAAACUGGCUGUCUUGAGUACGGGAGAGGUGAGUGGAACUCCGAGUGUAGAGGUGAAAUUCGUAGAUAUUCGGAAGAACACCAGUGGCGAAGGCGACUCACUGGCCCGUUACUGUCGCUGAGGCGCGAAAGCGUGGGGAGCAAACAGGAUUAGAUACCCCUGUAGUCCCUGUCUCUUAUAC